rnacentral:rRNA from 1 species
UACGAAGGGUGCAAGCGUUACUCGGAAUUACUGGGCGUAAAGCGUGCGUAGGUGGUUCGUUAAGUCUGAUGUGAAAGCCCUGGGCUCAACCUGGGAAUUGCAUUGGAUACUGGCAGGCUGGAGUAUGGUAGAGGAAGGUGGAAUUCCCGGUGUAGCAGUGAAAUGCGUAGAGAUCGGGAGGAACACCAGUGGCGAAGGCGGCCUUCUGGACCAAUACUGACGCUCAUGCACGAAAGCGUGGGGAGCAAACAGG